rnacentral:lncRNA from 1 species
AGGUGUCAGACCACCAAUUAAAAAUCCCUAUCUGUUCAACCAAAUUUUGCAAUUUUCACAGCUUUCUAAAUAUUUUACCUUAUGUUUAACUUCAUAGAAACCAGGUAUAUCCUUAAUUGUACAUGUAUCAGCUUUCUACAUGCCAAUUUUCACUAUACCUUUAAAGCCUUCUAACAAAAUAACUGACCUUCAAACAGAGGUACUCCAAAAA